UCCCUGGUAGCUCAGACGGUAAAGCGUCUGCCUGCAAUGCGGAAGACCCGGGUUCGAUUCCUGGGUCGGGAA
rnacentral:tRNA from 1 species